AGCAGCCGCGGUAAUUCCAGCUCCAAUAGCGUAUAUUAAAGUUGUUGCAGUUAAAAAGCUCGUAGUUGAAUUUCGGGACCAAUAUGUCGGUCGUGCUUCGGUACGUACUUGCAUUAUUGGUUUCUCCCUUCUGAGGAACCAUGAUGUCAUUAAUUUGGUGUCGUGGGAAAUCAGGACUGUUACUUUGAAAAAAUUAGAGUGUUUAAAGCAGGCUCGCGCUUGAAUACAUUAGCAUGGAAUAAUGAAAUAGGACGUUUGAUUCUAUUUUGUUGGUUUCUAGGAUCGACGUAAUGAUUAAUAGGGAUAGUUGGGGGCAUUAGUAUUCAAUUGUCAGAGGUGAAAUUCUUGGAUUUAUUGAAGACUAACUACUGCGAAAGCAUUUGCCAAGGAUGUUUUCAUUAAUCAAGAACGAAAGUUAGGGGAUCGAAGACGAUCAGAUACCGUCGUAGUCUUAACCAUAAACUAUGCCGACUAGGGAUCGGAUGAUGUUAUUUUUGAUGACUCA
rnacentral:rRNA from 1 species